CAAACAAAAAACCUCAUGCCACCGACUUUUGUUUUCAGAGCUGAUCUGGAAUCAAAACACUGGAAAAGCACCUAUAGUUCGUCUUGCCUAUUAUUUUAUUCAAGUCAAUCAGACUUGUGGUCUAUUCUUGCUCUGAUUAUGCUGCACAGUUACAAUAAAUGGACGAAGCUGAAGCAUUCCUGCAGGCAGUUUAUAGAAAGUAUAUGUAUAUGCCUGUGUAUGCACACUCAGGGAGAGAAAGUUGACUGUAAGGGACACAACAAAAUAUCCAUAUUUAAGAAAUGUGAAUUGACUCGCUGACUUAUCUCACUUAUUGUACAAAGAUUCACUCUGUGCUGAAAUUUUUUUAAAAUUAGAUUUUAAAUAUGUGUUGACAGGAUGAAUUUGUACAGUGUGAGUAACUGCAGAGAGAAAUGACAGCUCUGCUUUUGUUAUUAAACUACUGUUUGGAAAAUAAUGGACUGUGUACAAAAAUUGAUUAUUAUUUUGCCAAUUGCAUUAUUGCAGCUAAUAACGAUCAUUAAGAAAGAAAUCCAGAAAGCUACAUGCUUUUGUGUCUUAGAAGCUGCUAUUCACUGGUGAGCCAAAAAUACAUGUUUUUAAGGUAAUUUGUCAGUAAGUCUCCUGUUAUUAAUGUGAAGUAAAUACUAGAUGUGUGAGCUAGAAAUGUUUCACUUCAAACUGUGUUCAUUUCUUCUUCACUCAGAGUUAAUAAACAGUGCAAGAGACUUUCUAAAUUUAAUUUAGAUUUGCAUAUAAAAGGUCCUAUUCUGUACCGUAGUGGCACAAAAGACAGGCUUUGCAAUGUUAAAUAUUCCUUUUAAUAACGGUUUAUUUUAAUAUAUUUACUAAAUUAGGUACCCGAGAGAAUCAUCUACAACGGUGAUGUGAAAAUCCCUGUCACCUGAGGUCAAAAAAAAAAAAAAAAGUCUCCCAGAAGACCCGGAGUGGUGAUGCCUGGAUGCAGAGGAGAUCACACUGCUUAUAAAUCUGCACCAUGAGGAGGCCAAAAGUUUCUGCAGCAGCAGGAGGUAAGCCAGGACUGCUGGUGGGUGUAAGGAACAGAGAGCAAUGCCACAUGCACCCGAGAAGAAGGCAGCAGCACCCCUGAGGAUGGAGACUUUGGAGCAGUGUCAUGGUCCUGCACAGAAAACUUGAAGAGAUCUUCAGGUGGGAACACACCAUCCUGCUGGCUGCUUGUGUGGUUUAGUCCAUGGACCUCUGGGGUCUGCAUGCCAGAGACUGGAAACUCUUGACUUACCCUAAAUGUCCUCUUUGUGGACUUCUGAUGUGAUAGGAAUGGCACAAAAAAAUUCAAUAUAUCUGCUUCACCAUAACAUUUUCAGCCUGCUAACUUUCCCAGGACUACUUUCUGCUCAAAUUACUGGAACUUAAUUACAUGAGUUUUAAUUUCAUUUGCUUGGCCAGCUUUAAAAACAUGUAUUCAAAUUUGAACCGCAAGGACAGAAUUUUGGGAGCCUCUUUGUCCUCUCACUUUGUGUUAGUUUAAAUGAAGAAACUGUGUCUGUGAAUCUGCUUUACUACACCUAUUCCAAGUCAGUCUCUCUUCUGGAGAGACUUCCACGACUCUCAGCAGUUUAAGGGGGAGCACAAAUAACCCCUUAUGUUAAGGUUUAUGUUUUUGAAACUGUGCAAACAAUAGAUAUUUGUCUCCUGCUUGUGCAUUUUCUUGUAAAUAAAAUGUGUUGAGACCAGAGAUGGAGUUACGCUGACUUUACACCAGAUAAGGAUUUGUAUUGAGAUUUGACACGUGUUGUAUUAUCCAUAUGUUUCUUGAGUAGGUCUUGCAAUGUUUAAUUAUUAAAAAAAAAAAAAGAAGGGGAAGAAGAAUCAAAGAAGGGACAUAGAGAGAGGAGGUGAAAGGACAUGGAUGGGAAGUGGUGGAGUUGGAGGAUAACAUUGGCAAUCGAGGCAUUAUCUGAGCAUUCCUAUGAUUAGGACUUUAUCUUUCUCGCUUCACUAUUUCAUUAUAAUCUGCUGCUUAGCUGAUAAGUAAUAAAUGGCCUCCAAAUUUUA